AUGGAGGAGCAGCUGAGCCCGGUGGCGGUGACGCACCUGCUGCAGCACACGCUCCGGAGCCUCUGCACCAGCGACGCCUCGCAGUGGGUCUACGCCGUCUUCUGGCGCAUCCUCCCCCGGAACUACCCUCCCCCCAGAUGGGAUCUCCCAGGUGUGGCGUAUGACAGGACCAGAGGAAACAGGAGGAACUGGAUCCUGGCGUGGGAGGACGGGUUCUGCAACUUCGCGGCCACCACCUCUGCAGCCGCCUGCGGCCAAGAGGGGGCAGGAGCCGCCGCGGCUGCGUACGCGGACUGCGAGGCUGCCGCCGCCGCAGCAGCGCAGGAGGCCAAGCAGGGCCUGGGCCUGCAGCCUGAGCUCUUCUUCAAGAUGUCCCACGACAUCUACAACUACGGCGAAGGGUUGAUAGGGAAAGUGGCGGCGGACCACAGCCACAAGUGGAUCUUCAAGGAGCCCCCGGAGCAGGAGAUCAGCCUCAUCUCCUCCUGGAGCAACCCCGCCGACUCCCAACCGAGGACAUGGGAGGCUCAGUUCCAGUCUGGAAUCCAGACCAUCGCGCUGAUCGCCGUCAGGGAGGGCGUCGUGCAGCUCGGCUCCAUGAAAAAGGUGGCGGAGGACCUGAGCUACGUGGUGACGCUGCGCCGCAAGUUCGGGUACCUGGAGAGCAUCCCGGGCGUGCUGCUGCCGCACCCCUCGUCGGCCGGCGUGUUCCCGGUGGCGGACGUGGCCUCCGCCGCGGGCUGGCCGGGCAUGAUGCCGCCGCCGGACUUGUACGUCGACCCCUACGUCCCCGGGCCGGCGCCCAUGCACAUCAUGCCGUCCAUGAGCAGCCUCGAGGCGCUGCUCUCCAAGCUGCCGUCCGUGGUGCCGGCGCCCCCGCAGCCGCCGGGGGGCAUGCCGGACGCCGCGGCCAAGGAGGAGGCGGAGGAGGACUACAACGCCCACUGCCACGCCAUGGACAUGUCGUCCGUGCCGAGCAACGGCGGCGAGAGCACGAGCACGAGCGCCGCCGCCGCCCCCACUCCCAUGUCGUCCUACUUCCUCGACGUGGGCGGCAAGCCCAGCGAGGCCGGGUUCUAG
rnacentral:rRNA from 1 species